rnacentral:rRNA from 1 species
UACGUAGGGGGCUAGCGUUGUCCGGAAUUAUUGGGCGUAAAGAGCUCGUAGGCGGUUUGUCGCGUCGACUGUGAAAACCCGAGGCUUAACCUCGGGCCUGCAGUCGAUACGGGCAGACUAGAGUUCGGUAGGGGAGACUGGAAUUCCUGGUGUAGCGGUGAAAUGCGCAGAUAUCAGGAGGAACACCGGUGGCGAAGGCGGAUCUCUGGGCCAUUACUGACGCUGAGGAGCGAAAGCGUGGGGAGCGAACAGG